GGUCUUUUCGGAGACAGUGGCGGACGGGUGAGUAACGCGUAAGAAUCUACCUUCAGGUCGGGGACAACCACUGGAAACGGUGGCUAAUACCGGAUGUGCCGAGAGGUGAAAGGCUUGCUGCCUGAAGAAGAGCUUGCGUCUGAUUAGCUAGUUGGUGGUGUAAGAGACUACCAAGGCGACGAUCAGUAGCUGGUCUGAGAGGAUGAUCAGCCACACUGGGACUGAGACACGGCCCAGACUCCUACGGGAGGCAGCAGUGGGGAAUUUUCCGCAAUGGGCGAAAGCCUGACGGAGCAAUACCGCGUGAGGGAGGAAGGCUCUUGGGUUGUGAACCUCUUUUCUCAGGGAAGAACAAAAUGACGGUACCUGAGGAAUAAGCAUCGGCUAACUCCGUGCCAGCAGCCGCGGUAAUACGGAGGAUGCAAGCGUUAUCCGGAAUGAUUGGGCGUAAAGAGUCCGUAGGUGGCAUUGAAAGUCUGCUGUUAAAGAGUCUAGCUCAACUAGAUAAGAGCAGUGGAAACUACAAAGCUAGAGUUUGGUCGGGGCAGAAGGAAUUCCUGGUGUAGCGGUGAAAUGCGUAGAUAUCAGGAAGAACACCGGUGGCGAAGGCGUUCUGCUAGGCCGAGACUGACACUGAGGGACGAAAGCUAGGGGAGCGAAUGGGAUUAGAUACCCCAGUAGUCCUAGCCGUAAACGAUGGAUACUAGGCGUAGCUCGUAUCGACCCGAGCUGUGCCGGAGCUAACGCGUUAAGUAUCCCGCCUGGGGAGUACGCAGGCAACUGUGAAACUCAAAGGAAUUGACGGGGGCCCGCACAAGCGGUGGAGUAUGUGGUUUAAUUCGAUGCAACGCGAAGAACCUUACCAAGGCUUGACAUGUCACGAAUCCUGUAGAAAUAUAGNAGUGCCUUCGGGAGCGUGNACACAGGUGGNGCAUGGCUGUCGUCAGCUCGUGUCG
rnacentral:rRNA from 1 species